UUGUAUAGAUAUGAUCAUGUAUGUCCCAGUGUAGACAACUACCGGGUUGGUGUGUGACAGGGAACUCAGAGGCACUGCUGUGUGUGUUGGUGUUAUAAUGUACAUAUUGUAUAGAUAUGAUCAUGUAUGUCCCAGUGUAGACAACUACCAGGGUUGGUGUGUGACAGGGAACUCAGAGGCACUGCUGUGUGUGGUGGUGUUAUAAUGUACAUAUUGUAUAUAUGAUCAUGUAUGUCCCAGUGUAGACAACUACCAGGGUUGGUGUGUGACAGGGAACUCAGAGGCACUGCUGUGUCAUGUGGUGUUAUAAUGUACAUAUUGUAUAGAUAUGAUCAUGUAUGUCCCAGUGUAGACAACUACCAGGGUUGGUGUGUGACAGGGAACUCAGAGGCACUGCUGUGUCGUGUGGUGUUAUAAUGUACAUAUUGUAUAUAUGAUCAUGUAUGUCCCAGUGUAGACAACUACCAGGGUUGGUGUGUGACAGGGAGCUCAGAGGCACUGCUGUCAUGUGGUGGUGUUAUAAUGUACAUAUGGUAUAGAUAUGAUCAUGUAUGUCCCAGUGUAGACAACUACCAGGGGUUUUUCUUUAAUGUACAGGUAACUCUGAGGCAGAGCAGUAUGAUUUGGGGCCUUUUUCUGUUCUAAUGUACAAUUUGCAUCCAUAUCUUUUAGUAUGAACAAACACUGGGAGAUUUGACUCUGAAUCCUGUUUCAAUAAAUUUUAUGCCACUA